rnacentral:misc_RNA from 1 species
GGAAGUAAAAGUCGUAACAGGGGCUCCGUAGGUGAACCUGCGGAGGGAUCAUUACAGAGUUCUCGCCCUCGCGGGUAGAUCUCCCACCCACUGUUAUCGUUACUGUGUUGCUUUGGCGGGCCGCCGGGCCCCGCUCGGCCGCCGGCUCCGGCUGGCGCGCGCCCGCCAGAGGCCCAGCAAACUCUGAAUGUUAGUGUCGUCUGAGUACCAUAUAAUAGUUAAAACUUUCAACAACGGAUCUCUUGGUUCUG